rnacentral:lncRNA from 1 species
AAGUGUCGCACACCCGAGCCAGCCUUCUCGAGUCCCUUACACGGACAAGUCUCCCAGACUUAACAGCGGAAUACCAAUCCAAGCAUUUUGCCAAGCUUGCUCCUCCUCGAGACUUAUAGCCCGACCCUUCGCCUGUAAUCGAACCCCUCGUCGAACUCCCCGAGUUCCCAACGAGCAACCCCAAUACUGAGGUUGGCCACCAAGCUAGGUGUCUCCCGUCUUGCCAACCGAUCUCUCCUCGAGAGUGCCUCUUAACCGAAUGCCUUGUUGCCUUUCUCGCCAGCCCAAGGACAUUACAAGUUCUCCCCCAACUUGUCCACUAUGAGCAUAGCCAAGCGUCUCGCCUCCCACGCGUCUCGCCCCCGCGACUCAUUCCGCACGCCUCUAGCGUCGAGGUCCGGGCUUCACGACAUCGCAUGCCACGAAGGGCACUCAUAACCAUAAGUUCCUCGCCAUCGUGUCUCCCGCGCCUGACAACGCCCAUGGCCAUACCGCCUAUGCGGCCUGCUCGCUCGGUCCAACGGCUUACCUCCGAAAAGCCACCCAAGUGUGCGCCACAAGCUUGCUUACUCCCAACAUCAGCGCGUCAGCGUGACACUACGCACGUCCAUGCUUCGCACCUCCGUGCUUCGCAUUCGACCCGUGCGUCCCUCGUGUCCCAUCGCUCCUGAAUAGGGAACCAACAAGUCCACACCAUGCUUCUCGACCGUCUUAACGACCCUCGCUUUGCCACGGCGCUCCGCGCCCUCGACUCCCAUAGGUUCGCCUCAUAAGGCCCCAUACAAACGACCCGGCCUCGCUCCGCAUCGUUAGCCACUGGUCCCUCCUUGGCUCGACCACGCCUGGUCGUUUACACCAUAGGUCCAGUCUCUCAAGGUUCACUAUACGGAUACCGAUACCGCUUGCCUCCUUGGGUUCCGCCCCUCAAGUCUCGUAGGCCACCCGCCUUACGAAUUCUCCCUCGGCGUGCCUCCCUUCAGCGUUCCUAUCGAGUCCCGCCUCCUUGGCCUUCGUGGGCGCCGCGCCCCACGAAUCCCCGCUCGGCACACUUGCCUUCGCGAGCCUUGUCCUUUACGGAGGACCGUCCGUCGCUAGACUAUCCCUCAUCCGCUCGUACGCUCCACUACAGAGAUCCAAGCCGGCAUAAGGUAGUGCAAGCGAACCUAGGGAGGAAGCCUCCCGGUAUUCCCCGCUCCGUAAUGUCGUCGACCCCUCUCGUCUCCGACAUUACCCUAGGCCCGUGUCCCUUCAACCGUCCAUUAACCGGCUACACGGAACGCUAGGCUUGGCUACUCCGCUAGCCAAGGGACGACCCAUGUCCUAUGGGUCGACGGGGGAGUCGGGGCCACUUACGAAGUGUCCACCCCUCCUCUAAUACCCUUACGAGGCAUCCACUCCUUUGGCACCCCGGGGGUACGAAGGUGCUCACCGAGGGGUACGUUUUCCAACCCCGCAUGCGGCACCUAUUUCCAUGUCAUGGCACGGGCCAUUGCUAGGGAAUUGCCUCCGUUGACUUGACAGCGACUCCUACCUGACGGAACGCCUCAACUCCGCAACUCCAUAACUUCGUCAACCCAAGUGCCUACCAAAUAUGGCCCUCAAAGGUGUCACGGUCGAGUCCCAGCGAUCGACCCGUGACAGGCUCCCCCACUUGAAUCAUCGACGUCCUCGUCGAUGCUCUUCCACCUCUUCAAACUCUUUGCCAGCAGUACUACUCUUUCAGACCAGAGCCACCCACGGCCUUGGCAUCGCAUGCCACGCUGACCUGCUCUCGAGUUCGUCUGCUCAACAACGCUUCUGAAAAGCCCAUUGGUCCUUCUUGACCAUCCACUAGAUGUGCAUGUUCUGUCCCACCCUGAGUUAGAGCUCCCCAGCCUUGGUGCCUCGCUCGCACCACACUAACUCCUCCACGGAACCAGAACUCAAAGCUCAUAAUCCCUCGGAUUGCAAGAUUGUACUGGCACUCUUCCUUAACUUGGUUCUCUCCAUCGGAGCUACUCGGCCUCAACGCCCACUUCGCCCUGACUUAACCAAAGUUCCACGAGUCCAGUAGUCAACCUUAUAACUCCUUCUCAAGGAAAUAGUCCUCCGACUAAACUUCCCCUCUCUGGGAUUCAAGGUCAUAUAUCCAUCGACCUUGGACUUAGGGGUUAGACUCCAAACGUCCCUCGUCUUGGAGUUCUCCACGCGAAUCAGCACGCUGUUCGUCUUCGCCUUUGCCCCUAAUCAACAUCAGAUUUCAUGCCUCUCCCUAGGCACCUGCGACAGAUCCUCGAUCCGACGUUCCCAGUCUUAUACGGCGAGUCCUUCCACUCGACUCCCGAUCUCAUCUGCGGCGAGUUCCUCCACUUGCACUCCCGCUCACACAUACGGCGAGUUCCUCCACUCGAACUCCCGUCCCCAUAUGCGACGAGUUCCUCCACUCGAACUCCCGCUUCAGUGUAUGAAAGAUUUGUCUUAUUGAAUUUUAUAGGUACAACUCUUGUGGGUAUUCAUGCCAUACUCGUGCCCUCUCCGCAAACAACUUUUGCCACCCCCAAUGCCUCCACAAUCGCACAACGUUGAGCUCCACCCAUGGUCUCCUCAAGCUUUCAAGAUUUUCGUCGGGACUAGCCGGCCUCGACUACUUUCUGCUCUACUGACUUCACCACGGACCCUUGUCAUGCCUCCUGACUGCUUUGCAUUUCGACUACUUGUUGAUGCACGGCACCUUUAGCCUUUGUCCCACAAACCCGCUCAAGCCCUACUUCGUUAGGCUCUCGCAGAACUCCACUUUGAUUCGCAAUCAAAGUAUUCGGCCAAGUUCGAGCCUAUCGGACGCCUUGUCUCUUUUCGCUCGCAACUUGCCAUAUCCCAACUCUAGGGAGACCACCCUCAUGGUUGAUCGCUGAGCGGAACUCAGUUCACUCUCUGCUUAGUCUGAACCGCAAGUCUGGUUGCCACGGCAAUGCCGCUACCCUGCGCGCACCGCCCUUACAGAACUUCGAUACCUCGACCCUUCCCGCAGUUGCGAACUGUCCAUACCCCAACCAACACCAUGAUCUCGGGCGAAUCCACACACCGCUCAACCCGACUAAGGAUGUCUCAUCGGUCCAACUCGUGGGCACAUUGUAAAGAGCAACCGAUCUCCACACCGGCCUUCUCGCACCAAGAGAAGUGCUAAGCUCUCUCGCAAUCCUUGGUCCCCUUCACAACUUAGUCCAACGCCUAGCUGUUACUACCAUGGAUUCGUCGGCCUAGACUUCCAACUUGAGCUCCACGAAGCGAACUCUUUUACCACAUGUGUUGUAUCCCACAUCCUGUCAUAGACGAGCUCCUUCACCGAGUCAUUCCACAUGGGAGCACUUAAUGACCAAGCGUGCUCCCCCACUCUGAGUCGCUCCACCACCAAGCGCACUCAGAUCUCCCCGGCAUUCUCAAUGCCCCACAUUCUGCCCUUGUAGCUCCGGCUCUGCCACAACCUUCACUGAUCCCUCAAGCGGAACCCAUGUCAUCCAUCCAAUGGAUACAUGUACGCUACCUCGAGCCGCCAACGCUGUCACCGUUCUGCUCGAAGCUAGCCUUGCCACCUCACUCCGCGAGUUAAGGUUCCAACCUCAAUCCAUUCUCUCGCACAAGGAUGCCUUCUCUUUCCAUAUCAUGGGCACACUCCAAAGAGUCAUCGAUCUCCCCAUCGAUCUUCCUUUACCAAGAGAGAAGUACUGGUCCAUCGAGUAGCCUUUUGGUAUUCCCGCAACUUUGGUCGAAGCUGCUCCCAACGAAGACUACUGCCCGUCAGACUUCAAACUCAGCUUUCACGAAGUAAACUCUUUCGCCCAGUGUUUCACCACCCAAUCCAUAUCCUUUCGAGAAGCACCAUCGUCGAGGGUUCACAUUCAGGAAUACAUCUCCACCUGAUGUACUCCCCCACACUGAGUCGUAGCACCUCUGCACAACUCAGGUUCCUCGGGCAUUCGCAAUACCCAACUCCGCGGCAAACCCAACCACGGACCGCAAACUGAUUCUUCAUAAUCAUUGCCCCAUCGUCUGCCACACGACUAAGGCCUUAACCAUUUCUCCAUCUUGAGAAUGACUUGGAAAUCCUCACAGGGUACCGACAUGAAUUUGGCUAUCACCCCACCACGAGUCCACACCAACAGACACUCCCUCGCAAGGCCCGCAAUAGACUGGGUCUCCGAGCUCCUCGCUGUUACCUGACUCUCAUCCAUGCGUAGUGCAAGUCCGAACCGCCCGGCUUCACUCACCGUAAAGAAUUCGUGGGUAGCACCAAUAUCCAUCACAACUCAGCUCCGCAUCUCUCACAAGCGAAGUAUUGCCCCGAUGCAUUGUCGGCUCCAAGUCCUUCCGUCAGAGUGACUCUGCUCACUCCAACGUCGCCGCCAAGGUCGCACCUUUCGGCCAAACUUCCUUCCCAAAUGAGCUCAACAUAGCUCUGAUACCACUUGUCACGGGGUUAGCUUUUUCGCCUCAAAAAUCCCCGCGCGGCGCUCAAGUGUCGCACACCCGAGCCAGCCUUCUCGAGUCCCUUACGCGGACAAGUCUCCCAGACUUAACAGCGGAAUACCAAUCCAAGCAUUUUGCCAAGCUUGCUCCUCCCCGAGACUUACAGCCCGAUCCUUCGCCUGUAAUCGAACCCCUCGUCGAACUCCCCGAGUUCCCAACGAGCAACCCCAAUACCGAGGUUGGCCACCAAGUUAGGUGUCUCCCGUCUUGCCAACCGGUCUCUCCUCGAGAGUGCCUCAUAACCGAAUGCCUUGCUGCCUUCGUCGCCAGCCCAAGGACAUUACAAGUUCUCCCCCAACUUGUACAAUAUGAGUAUAGCCAAGCGUCUCGCCUCCCACGCGUUUCGCCCCCGCGACUCAAUCCGCAUGCCUCUAGCGUCGAG